rnacentral:rRNA from 1 species
UCGAACGAGAAAGCGGGGCAACUCGCGAGUACAGUGGCGUACGGGUGAGUAACACGUGGGUGAUCUACCCUUUAGUGGGGAAUAACGCUGGGAAACCGGCGCUAAUACCGCAUAAUCCCGAGAGGGGAAAGGCGAAAGUCGCUGAAGGAGGAGCCCGCGGCCGAUUAGCUAGUUGGGAGGGUAAAAGCCUACCAAGGCAAAGAUCGGUAGCCGGCCUGAGAGGGCACACGGCCACACUGGCACUGAAACACGGGCCAGACUCCUACGGGAGGCAGCAGUGGGGAAUCUUGCACAAUGGGGGCAACCCUGAUGCAGCGACGCCGCGUGAACGAUGAAGCCCUUCGGGGUGUAAAGUUCUUUCGGCAGGGACGAUAAUGACGGUACCUGCAGAAGCAGCUGCGGCUAACUACGUGCCAGCAGCCGCGGUAAUACGUAGGCAGCGAGCGUUGUUCGGAGUUACUGGGCGUAAAGGGUGUGUAGGCGGUUUUCUAAGUUUGGUGUGAAAUCUCCCGGCUCAACCGGGAGGGUGCGCCGAAAACUGGGAGACUCGAGUGCGGGAUGGGAGAGUAGAAUUCCUGGUGUAGCGGUGAAAUGCGUAGAUAUCAGGAGGAAUACCGGUGGUGUAGACGGCUCUCUGGACCGCAACUGACGCUGAGACACGAAAGCGUGGGUAGCAAACAGGAUUAGAUACCCUGGUAGUCCACGCCCUAAACGAUGCAUAUUUGGUGUAGGUCAUUCAGUUGAUCUGUGCCGGAGCUAACGCGUUAAAUAUGCCGCCUGGGGAGUACAGUCGCAAGGCUGA